rfam:Triticum aestivum genome assembly, contig: Triticum_aestivum_CS42_TGACv1_scaffold_251552_3DL
AUCCUUGCGCUUGGGGCAAUGACGCAGCUAGUGAAGUUAUACCGAGGCGCGUCAAUUGCUGGUUGAAAACUAUAUCCAAACCCCCUCUUUGACCAUCACUGGUCAUUCGAAAUUUUUGAAAGGGUUCCCUCCCUGCGAGGGUAAAACC